rnacentral:misc_RNA from 1 species
GCAAACUUGGUCAUUUAGAGGAAGUAAAAGUCGUAACAAGGUUUCCGUAGGUGAACCUGCGGAAGGAUCAUUAACACGUAUCCACGUAUCAACCCUCUGUGCAAAACUCUUGUUGAGGCCGGUGUAGUGUGCUCGCUUAUCAUGGGAUCUUAAUGAUGGGAGCCCCGAGAGGGGCUCGGGAUCUCGAGUGGGUAUGCGUUCUGACGAUCAGCCGCUAUUUUCCCAUCAUUAGCCUUUAACUUUUUUUAACCCCUUUGUACUUCUUUGUACUGAACCAAUUCUUCGAGUUUGCUUGGUUAACUCUGAGCGAGCACGAAAGAUAUUACGAAACUAAAGAACAACUCUUAGCAACGGAUAUCUUGGUUCCCGCAUCGAUGAAGAACGCAGC